rnacentral:rRNA from 1 species
UGGGGAAUUUUGCACAAUGGGCGCAAGCCUGAUGCAGCGACGCCGCGUGAGGGAUGAAGGCCUUCGGGUUGUAAACCUUUUUCGCUCAUGGUCAAGCCGCAGCUUUGGGUUGUGGUGAGGGUAGUGGGUAAAGAAGCGCCGGCUAACUACGUGCCAGCAGCCGCGGUAAUACGUAGGGCGCGAGCGUUGUCCGGAAUUAUUGGGCGUAAAAGGCUUGUAGGCGGUUGGCCGCGUCUGCCGUGAAAUCCUCUGGCUUAACUGGGGGCGUGCGGUGGGUACGGGUUGACUUGAGUGCGGUAGGGGAGACUGGAAUUCCUGGUGUAGCGGUGGAAUGCGCAGAUAUCAGGAGGAACACCGGUGGCGAAGGCGGGUCUCUGGGCCGUUACUGACGCUGAGGAGCGAAAGCGUGGGGAGCGAACAGG